rnacentral:lncRNA from 1 species
UGUGCUCGGCUGCUUUAAGCUUGUAGAGAAGAUAUCAGAGUUGCUGGCAUCCCUUUUCAUCCAGUUUGCUGGCCUUUCAGAUUUUUCAUCCUUAGGCGCAUAAUUCCCCGUGCUCUGCUGUUUGGAGCUUGUAGUGAAAAGAUCAGAACUGCUGGAAUCCCUUUUCAUCCAGUUUGAAGGCCUAUCAGACUUUUCAUCCUUAGACACAGUGUUAUAGUUCCCAGUGCUCUGCUGCUUGGAGUUUGUAGUGAAGGUAUCAGAACCAUUUGCAUCCCUUUUCAUCCAGUUUGCAGGCCUUUCAGAUUUUUCAUCCUUAGACCCUUUUCU